ensembl:lncRNA
GAAACAUGGCAGAUGAAUUCAUGGAUUCAGGAUGAGCAUACUAGCAUACAUGUGGUAAAUGUACACAAUAUAUACAAACAUAACAUGGUAUAUACAUGAUACAUACAAAAUUGACAGUGGAUAAGGUGGGGAGAGAGCAUUCAAUUAUUGUACAACAAUUUAGGGGGUAUACAGUGUGCUCGUAGGUUAGUAUUACAAGCUGAAGUAGAGUAAUAAUGCCAAUUUAUUAUUAAUAUUUAUGGAUAUAGGCCUAUAGUUAGCUAGAUUAUCAGGAUCAAGGUUAGUCUUUGAGAAAUGAUAUGAUCACUGCUAUUUUGAAUGAUUGUGGAACGUAUGAUGAAUUGUUCAUUACUUGAAGUAGUGUCUCAUUUAAUAAGGGUGUCAAAGUAAUUUUGACCCUUUGUCCCUAGUUUUAAUCCCUUGUGAAUACAAAUCUAUUAACGAGUAACAUCUUGCCUACACCCAUCCUUAUUUGGGAACUCUUUUAUUUUGACUCGCAUAGUACUUUUUGUUGAUGUUCUUUCUAAUAACAAUCCUCUGUGCUCCAAUCUGAGUCAUGCCUAUCUAUGGGGCUGUUAGCGUAGCAUAAUUAUUAGCACAUGUCUGUGGAGAGUGUGUAACUAUCUCAAUCCCUGUCAAUUUGUAAAUCUGUUAAAGAAUCUCUAAAUGCGUGCUGCCAUUUGCGAAUGUAUAGAAAAAUCUCAUAUACAUUAUUAAUACAAUAUCAUCAAAAUAACAGCCUUUUGCCAGACGUCGGGAGAAUACUUGGCACAAAGCAUCUGCCAAAUAAAUAUUUCUGAAGCACAUAAUUUUAUGAUUAACAACUUGCAGUGCCAUCAAUCCGUCUAAAUGCUUCCUUGGAAUCUAAACCUCUUUCUUUGGCUGCCGCACCUUUGUCCUUCCAGUAAAAUUUCAAAAGCACUUGAUGAGUGAGAUGAGGGAGGCUGAACCUGAGUGUGGGACCUUGUUUAGGCCGAGAGUAAAGGGAGAGAGUCAUGGGAGGUGCUGAGUCUGUUUUGCAUUGUACCCUUGAGGGAAAUUAUAGAUAAGCAUUUGUCCUUAUGUUCACAGCGUAACUGCACACUGAAAAUUAGCGGUUCUGUUACCAUAAAACAAUCGAGCGAAUAUUUGUGGGACAUUCACUGAACUGUCUUGUAGCUCAACAAGCAGUAUAUGUUGCAGCUUGUAACAACAUAGUACAACCAUAAGACCCAUAUUCUGUGAUAAAUAACUCUUGAUGCAUGAUCUUUCAUCCAAUCGCUGUGUGUUGUGAAGAUGAUAGAGGUGAACUAUGUGUUGUGAAGAUGAUAGAGGUGAACUGUGUGUUGUGAAGAUGAUAGAGGUGAACUGACAGACUUUGAGUCAUGUAUCGUUAAAGUUUCUGAUAUGUAGCAACAGGCAUUGCUUAAAGGCAUGUAGGCAUUUCUUAAAACAGUCCUG